AGAGUUUGAUUCUGGCUACAGGACGAACGCUGGCGGCGUGCUUAACACAUGCAAGUCGAGCGGAGAAUAUAGCAAUAUAUUCUUAGCGGCGGACGGGUGAGUAACGCGUGGGUAACCUGCCUUUUUACAGGGGGAUAACACUGGGAAACUAGUGCUAAUACCGCAUAAAAUAGUGAAGUGGCAUCACUUUACUAUCAAAGGAGCAAUCCGGUAAAAGAUGGACCCGCGUCCGAUUAGCUAGUUGGAGGGGUAACGGCCCACCAAGGCGACGAUCGGUAGCCGAACUGAGAGGUUGAUCGGCCACAUUGGGACUGGGACACGGCCCAGACUCCUACGGGAGGCAGCAGUGGGGAAUAUUGCGCAAAAGUGGGGGAAACCCUGACGCAGCAACGCCGCGUGAAGGAUGAAGGUUUUCGGAUUGUAAACUUCUUUGAUUGGGGACGAUAAUGACGGUACCCAAAAAACAAGCCACGGCUAACUACGUGCCAGCAGCGGC
rnacentral:rRNA from 1 species